CUUGAUCGACCCCAACCACAACGGCCCGCUAGUACCCCGAUCCUGCCCAUAAGUCGCCAACAACGCCUGCGCCUC
rfam:Mycobacterium avium 2285 (S) gma2285S.contig.6, whole genome shotgun sequence.